rnacentral:piRNA from 1 species
UUCUACACUCUGCUCAAUUCC